rnacentral:rRNA from 1 species
UGGGGGAUAUUGCACAAUGGGCGAAAGCCUGAUGCAGCGACGCCGCGUGGGGGAUGAAGGCUUUCGGGUUGUAAACCUCUUUCGCUAUCGAACAAGGCCCGCUUAGGGUGGGUUGAGGGUAGGUGGAGAAGAAGCGCCGGCUAACUACGUGCCAGCAGCCGCGGUAAUACGUAGGGCGCGAGUGUUGUCCGGAAUUAUUGGGCGUAAAGGGCUUGUAGGCGGCUUGUUGCGCCUGCUGUGAAAACGCGGGGCUUAACUUCGCGCGUGCAGUGGGUACGGGCAGGCUUGAGUGUGGUAGGGGUGACUGGAAUUCCAGGUGUAGCGGUGGAAUGCGCAGAUAUCUGGAGGAACACCGAUGGCGAAGGCAGGUCACUGGGCCAUUACUGACGCUGAGGAGCGAAAGCAUGGGUAGCGAACAGG